rnacentral:lncRNA from 1 species
AUGGCAAUAAAGUGGGCCCUGGAGGAAUGGUGGCAGUGGCUCUUGGGGACCACCGACCCUUUUCUGAUCUGGACCGACCACCAGAAUCUCAUCCACCUUCAGACCGCCCGUCAGCUCAAUCCUCGUCAGGCUCGGUGGGCCCUCUUUUUCGAGCCAUACAAUUUCCAUAUCGCCUACCGGCCCGGCUCCAAGAACCUCAAGGCGGACGCCAUCUCUCGGAGUUUUGCACCCGAUUCAAGCCCCCCGGAGCCUCUGACCAUUCUGUCGGCUCAACGCUUCCUAGCCUCUCUCCAGUGGCCAUUGGUACAAGCCAUAAGGGCCGUACUUCCUGGCGAUCCGGCGCCCCCAGAGACUCCCCCGAAUCGCCUCUAUGUUCCAACCUCCUGCCGACAAGAGGCACUCACGUGGGGGCAUUGUUCACGGCUCGCUGGACAUCAAGGCCAAGCCCGCACCCUCCAGUUCCUCCGUCGGGCUCUCUGGUGGCCUUCUAUGAGGAGGGAUGUCCGCGAGUUCACUGCUGCAUGUGAUGUGUGUGCUCGAUCCAAGUCAUCUAACCUAUCCGGCGCUGGAGAUUUACAACCCCUCCCUGUGCCCAAGUGGCCGUGGUCGCACAUCGGGCUGGAUUUUGUCACGGAUCUGCGGGCCGUCGACCGCCUGGACACCAUUCUCACCAUCACGGACCGUUUCUCCAAGGCCGUGCACUUGGUGGUCCUGGCCGGCCUCCCCACUGCCAAGAGAACGGCCGAACUGCUCCUCGAACAGGUGGUGCGACUCCAUGGUUUCCCCCAGGACGUGGUUUCCGACCAGGGUCCUCAGUUCGUCUCACGCUUCUGGAAGGCUUUCUGUCGCCUGGUCGGCACUUCCACCAGCCUGUCCUCUGGGUACCAUCCGCAGACGAACGGUCAGACAGAGAGGGCUAACCAGCAGCUUGGACGCUACUUGCUCUGCUUCGCUUCGUCCCAGCCGACCACCUGGCCCCGCUUCCUCCUAUGGGCGGAACUGUCGCACAACCUCCAGUCCUCCUCUGCCACGAGUCUGUCUCCCUUCGAGACCUGUUACGGUUAUCAGCCUNUACCAGCCCCCUCUGUUCGACCAUCAGGUGCCUGA